CAGUAGCCGCGGGAAUACGUAGGGUGCAAGCGUUAAUCGGAAUUACUGGGCGUAAAGCGUGCGCAGGCGGUUUGUUAAGUCAGAUGUGAAAUCCCCGGGCUUAACCCGGGAACUGCAUUUGAAACUGGCAGGCUAGAGUCUCGUAGAGGGGGGUAGAAUUCCAGGUGUAGCGGUGAAAUGCGUAGAGAUCUGGAGGAACACCGAUGGCGAAGGCAGCCCCCUGGGCCAAUACUGACGCUCAUGCACGAAAGCGUGGGGAGCAAACAGGAUUAGAUACCCCGGUAGUCCCUGUCUCUUAUAC
rnacentral:rRNA from 1 species